CUCUUCAAUUCGCUGAAUUCCCGUCAGGGAAGCGGGGGAACCGAAUGGGCGUGUCCAUGGUGCACGCAGGGGUGAGUCCCGCGCGGAGACAACAGGGAUGAACAACCCUUUAUCUCUCGCGGGUAGGGCGAUUCUGGCGCCCGAACCCGUCAGCUAACCUCGUAAGCGUACCGGAAGGAGGGA
rnacentral:sRNA from 1 species